UACGGGGGGGGGCAAGCGUUGUUCGGAAUUACUGGGCGUAAAGGGCUCGUAGGCGGCCAACUAAGUCGGAUGUGAAAUCCCCAGGCUUAACCUGGGAACUGCAUCCGAUACUGGAUGGCUUGAAUCCGGGAGAGGGAUGCAGAAUUCCAGGUGUAGCGGUGAAAUGCGUAGAUAUCUGGAGGAAUACCGGUGGCGAAGGCGGCAUCCUGGACCGGCAUUGACGCUGAGGAGCGAAAGCUAGGGGAGCAAACGGG
rnacentral:rRNA from 1 species